UUUUUUUUUUUUUUUUUUUUUUUAAUGUUAGGUAGAAAAAGGGUUGGGGUUCCGACUCCGGGUGGCUACUGACUAACUCCGUCCGGACGGACAAGCCCCGGGCGUCUAAAGGACAGAACAUUCGAAGUAUAAUGACGUUGCCUAAAGGAAAUCGUUCAUUUUCCAUUAUGACAUAGUCCGCCCCUCCCAUAUUUUGUUUUGUUUUUUUUUUUUUUACUUAAGUGUAUCCCAAUCUUUCGGGCAGAUUAAUCUCCUAAUACGGUAUAGAACCUUACUCGAAGUCAAAGGACGCAUAGCAAGCAGAGAAAUCGAUUACAGGACCUGUUGGUAAUUAUCAGACUAUGAAGAACUAAUCGGACUAUCCGCAGAAGCCUCUUCCUUUCUGAAGUUCACUCUUCUCUUGCACGUCAAUGAAAAGCAAAGACGGCAAGAACAUGAGAUUAGAUUCAUUUUCAUAAUUUGCAGUCACUCCAAAAUGACAUGCUCGAGUAAGACCCACCUCAUAACUGUAUGGACUUGAGAUGCCAGGUUAGACUCUAAACAUCGAAUUUUCUUUUUAAGGAGAAAAAAAAAUAGAGAGGAUCUUGGCAUGGUCAUCAUGGUUAACAUUUUAAUCUGGAUUAGCAUAUGCUGAGCGUUCCUUGAGACACUUGCAGAUUAGUCUUAAGCUGCAUCUGCCUGCAUAACCCUUUUAGCCAUAUUAAUUAUCACGCUACCCACAAUGUGUGCUACAUCACAGCUGCGAUAAUAGACCUCAAGGUUCUUGCACUUGCAGUGGUGGAGAAUUUUACAAUCAGGAAUAUACCCCUAUUUGAAAACAGGGGGAGACAGCAAUUCUUUCAAGUAAAGCCAAUCAUUCAUGUAGAGGAUCUAAACAGAAAGUAGAGACAGCAAUUCAUACCGAUUUGGAGGAUUCACAGGCUAGCUUACCUACUAAGAAAACCGGAGACAGUAAAGCCAAUCAUUCAAGCGGAGGAUCUAAACUGCAAUAGUGCUCUUUAUGCACUAGUAAAUCCAACUUAUUAGCAAUUCAUACAAGUCGCAGUCUACAAAACAAGGAAAAAGUUUAUGCAGUACUAAGUAAGAAGGCACAAGCAGCCCCACACUUGUUGGGACUGUUAAGCUGAACCGUCUGCAUAAUGGUAGUAUUGAAAUUGGACAACAUUAUACAGAAGGGAAUAAGCUAUAAAAUACAAAACAGCGAAAAAGUUCAUACUAACAAGGUACAAGCACUUCUAAACCUGUUGCAAUUGCCGAGUUGAAGCAGCUGCAUAAUGGUGGCUUUCAACAACAUUGUACAAAAAGGGAAUAAGCUUCCCCGGUACAGAGAGAAGAAAUAGUCUUUACAUGUUUACAACAACCUGUCACGUCUUCUGCAAAAGAAAGCAAUGAUAAACAUGCAAAUGGAUGAGAAAUUUCGUUAGUACAACAAGAUGACAGGAGCCCAAGUUGUUUAAUGUCAUUAACGCUAAGCACCAGUAAGUGCCUUCCAGUCACACGUCUUCUUAAAAAAUUUGGCACCCCUUUUUCCCAUUCUACUCCCUACAAGAUUAGCUGAAAGAAGAGAUUUUGUAUCUGGUCUCCACUGCAGGUCUUUCAAAGUAGAAAACAAAUACGAAAGCACAGGAGAUAUCUCAGUAUCCUUUAUUUUGUUACACGAUACUACUCUAAGACUCUGAAUCUCCAUCCAGGAAAUAACCACCAACUCUAGACCAGCUGUUGUUAGCACCGGACAACCUUCCAAAGACAGCAACUUCACACUCCUGCAAACAAGAUCCCGUGAAUUGAACGUCUGAUAACAUGAUUCUUCUUCACAAACUAACAGAUUCUUGAAGCAAAAUAUCUUUUUUGAUAUGCUUAUGAUGAAAAAUGCUUGAAACCAGGUUACUAUUCUGGUAUCUUCUCGUUUUCUAAAUUGGUAUAAAGGCCAAAUCAACUUCACUAUCAUUAGUCUUCUAAAACUUCAAGUCAAAAAUGUCUUUAAGACAGUGACUAUUAUAUUUACAUGUACACUGGACUAACUAGACUAGUCCUGCAUAUUAAAAUUCUAAGUCAAGAAUGUUGCAAUGCAGCAGGGAGAAAGAGGAAUGCUGGAACCUGCAACUAAAUUCACAGGGAGGGACUCAAAAAAAAAAAAAAAAAGAAACUACUUCAACAGGGAGGGAACGGUAAGAUAAACGGGGAGAAGAAUGCUACCUCAGAUCAGUUGUAAUGCUGAAAAUAUCAUUGUUCAAGCCCCAACAGUUUUUGAAAAUAAUAUCCUUCACUCCUUGACAGACAACAAACAAUGCCCUGACACUCUGCUUAUCCCGCAACUGACAUUUCUCGAAGUGCAACCUUUCAAGUGUUGGACAAGAUCCCAGAUGUUCAUGAGGUCCUGGAUUCAGAUCAAUAGUCUUACAAGAUAAAAACCUUAAAGUCUUUAAAUUCUCACAAUAAGAAAGAGCUGCUAACCAUCCAUCCUCCAUCUUAUGAUCACAAAAAGUCAACUCUUCAAGCAUUUGACAACACUGUCCAAUAGCUCGAAUCCCGUCAUAGCUCCCCUGGCAUCCAUUCAACUCCAGCUUGACCAACCUCUUACAACCUUGAGCCAAAAUAGUCAACCCCACAUCUGAAACCACUGAGCUAUAAAAACCAUCGAUAUCUGCAAUCAAUCUCAAUAUCUGUAAAUUCUGAAAUGCUGCAAUCCCGCGAAGAACCCGAUCAUUACACCUAUGCAACUCCAAUUCUUGGAGGGUUGGACACUCCUCAGCCACACUCAACAGCCCCAUCUCACUAGCAUUCAGCACCACAAGCCUCCUCAAAUUUGGACAUCCAUUAGCUAAAUUCCUCAAGCCCAGGUCAAUUUCAUCGGCAUGUAGCAUAAAUCUUUCACAAGCAAGAGAGCCUUUGGGCUCAGUAUCAGUGUCGACGUAAAAAGAUGCAACCUUGUGAGUGCAUAAAAUACCCGAGUUUCGGGGCGACGUUAGAGACCCUUCAACUAAAUCAACAUGAACAAGAUUUGGGAAUCUGACAAAUAAGCGACUCGAUACAAGAAAGUUCCAAUCAAGAAGCUUUACAGACUUUACAAGUCGGCCUUGAAGAUUCAGCCACCUUUUGGAUACGAGGGAAUUGGAAUUCCUCUGUGAAUCAGGAAGCUUUGAGAGGAUUUGGAGAAGGAUUUCAUCAGGAAGGAGUGAGGUUUUAUCAGAGACAAGUUCAGGGAAAGUGAAGCCUUCGGUCUUGUGUGGUCGCGGGGUCAAUAGAGAAGGGGUUUGGGGCUGUUUGGUAAGAGAUUGGAGGCGCAUGGUAAAUAAGACAUUGUUGAGAACUUUCUUGUUCUUGAUCCACAGCUUCAAUGGAGAGUUACCAUUUGGUUUCUCAGGAGAACACGACAUCGUUUCAGCGCACUCUGUCUGCUACUGCGGCUGCUUUCAGCGUCAAAUUGAAAGGGCUCAAUGUGGUUUCUCAGCCCACUGCAUCACUUACUUCUGUUCUGCCUAUUCAAAAUCUUCUUAUUCAGAGUUGCUUUUCCUCUCUCUCUCUCUCUCUCUGUUUGGUGGAAGCAGAAAACAAGCUGAAUUUCAGCAUCUGAUCCAUUUUUCCUUGUUUCAUUUUCUCUCGUAUCCUUUAUUUUCUUUGUCUGGCUUUUGUUGCUGUAGCUAACGGUCUUCUAGGAGUGGGGUCAAAGGCAAGAAAUUUUUAAUCAAAAUAUCAUCUGUUGUGGCAAUUCAAGAAUUUGAAUUGGGCGGUCCUUUAGAUUAGAUGUUAGAAAGGUAGCCCCAUCGGGAAAUGGAAACGGCAAUCAAAGUGAAACGAAAGGCCAGUAGGCCCAGUACAGAAAACGUUUAUUUACCUUUUUAAAGAUUUUUCUUUUCUUUGUCAUAAAGGUUUUAUUUUUUUUGUCUAACUAUUACUCCUCCUCCGUUCCAUUGAAAAUAUUUUAUUUUUUAUUUUAAAAUAUUUAAUCUGUUGAAAAAAUUUAAACAAUUUGCAUUAACCGUGCUUUUAUUGUAAGUUUAAGUGUGUGUGUGAUUUGAAUUUAUGAGGAUUAAAGUUAAAAAGAACAAAAAACACAAUAUCACAAGUGUUGCGAUUGGAUUUCGAAUGAAAGUGAUGGAACCGGAGUGCGUGCUCAUUUGUACGAUGUGCUGUGUUGAGUGAUAAAAGAGACUUAUUGGCAUCCACCUUUUGAAAUAAUUUUCUUGUAAAUUAUUCCACGGAUUGUGUGUCCAUAAGUGAUUGUUGUGGGCGCUGUGAAUCUGCUGUUGUAGAUUAUCCCAAAUAACAUGGAUGGGGAAACGAAUCAUGUAUUGCCGUCCAUGUUGCAUGAGUGCGUUAUUUCAUUUCACAAAAUAUUCUUUUUGUCUUCAUUUUUACAAUGAAGCAAUUUCGUCACUGAUUUUUAAAAAAAGAUAAUACAUCUAAAGUGCCAAUCUGAUCAAGUUCUUCCUUGUGUUGUUAACUAAAUCAUAUAAUUAUUAGAUUGUGUACUUUGAUUGUUUUUGUAUGCAUGAUAAAUAAUUAAUGAAGCACGGAAGUGCCUGUUCAAAGUUCGUAUUGUUAUUACACACCGAUAUAAAUUCAUCCCCAAGUUUCUUCCACCAAAAAAAAGGGAAAAGUUUCGUUAAAACUCCCAAACUAAAAAAAAAAAAAAAAAAUCAACCAUGUUAAGCAGCUUUGAUAUCAUCAUCAUCCCAUUUAAGAUAACUAUAAUCAUAAGUAACACAAGAAAAAUGAUUUUAGUGGGAAGGUUUGCUUUGGUAAAUUGAUUCCUAGAUCGAUGAGCAAGAACACAAUAAAAAGUUGAAUAGAAGUGGCAGUACACCACUAACAAUGCCAAUUAAUAUUUCAUAUCAAUUAAUUGGUAUUCUUUUGUUAAAAGAAAAGGAUAUUCUGGAUGCUUUUUAAGUUUCACUUGUAUCCUAUAUUUCUUUUUUUCCUUCUCUUUUUUGCCCUUACACGAUGUAUCCUUUACAUCCUUCACUAAAUAAAGGGAAAAAAAUUAAAAAAAAAAUACGGAAAUACGGAAAUUUAAUACUGACAAUAAUUUUUAAAAAUCACGAAUCAAUGGCACUUUAGUUGGUAGCAAGUUUCAAACUCGAAUAUUAUAAGAGAAGAGUCAAGUCCUUAUUGAGUAAAUCACAAUAGAUUGGAGGAUUAACCAGGAACUUCCCUCCCAGGUCCGAGUUUAUACUCAAAUUUGCUAGGUGAUCAGCACAAUGGUUUCCCUCUCUCCAUUGGUGCUGAAGCUUGCAUUCCCACUGCUGCUUCCGGAAUCUCCUUAUUUGCAUCAUCUGAUUGUAGUGUGGGGAAUCAGGUGGCAUCUUGUCUAAUAGUUCUAGCAUUAUUUUAGAAUCUAUCUCAAGAAUCACUUUUCUGAAGUCCACGUCCCAUGCUAGUUUCAAUCCAAAUUGUAUUGCCCACAGCUCUGCUCCAACAUUGGUAGUUGUUCCUAGAUUGGCAAGAAACCCACCUAGCCAAACUCCUUGAUGAUCUCUAAUUAAACCCCCAGCUCCAGCAACUCCUGGAUUUUUUUUGCAUGCCCCAUCUACAUUGACCUUUAUCCAUUCCUCUGGGGCUCUCUUCCAUGCAAUGUGAAUGGUUUCUUUUCAGUUUCCUGUGUGUAUCCUUUUACCUGCUUGCUGCAGGUAAUCCCCUUGCAAGUUGCAAGAAGUGCCUGUAUUUUUUUUUUUUUCCAUUUGGAUGCUUUCCCCUGUGCUGUAAAAUUGGUUCCUUGCCGUCCAAGCGUGGUAGGUCAUCAAUUGGAACAAUAACUGCCACUCAUAAUUAUCCAUUCUUCCCAUUCUUCCAUCUUUCAGAUUUCUAUCAAUCUAGUCUACCAGACUCAUGCUUUUAAAUUCUACCCACUUACCCGGAUGAACUAGUUGAUGCUAGAUUUUGUUUAUCCACUCGCAGUCUCUCAACACAUGCAAUGUUGUUUCAGUUUUCUUCCCACAAAUUUGACAUUUACUGUCUUCCCGUGUGUGUCUUCUUCUUUUCUCUGCAUUAGUUAGCAGUCUUUGUUUUCAAGCAAUUCAGAGAUGAAACUGCCAUCUUCCUUGGCCCUUUUGCUUUCAUACCUCCUUCCAUCCUUUAUCUUGAGCACUUCUGUCCAGAAUUUGGUUUCCUCCCCAUUUCUCACUCUCCAUUUGAGCCUUCUCUUGAGCACUUUUCUCCCCUCUAUAAUGCUCUUCCAUACAUGAGAUUUUCUCCCUUUUAAAUUUCCCAUGUUGGUGCUUUUGUUCCUUUUGUAUUUGCUUCUCAAGACUUGGGCCCAUAGUGCUGUAUUAUGUUUCACCAUUCGCCAUCCUAACUCUGCAGAGAAUGCUCUAUUGGCCACCUCUAGUCGUCAUAUUCCCAGUCCCUCUUUACUCUUUGGUGUAUGUUACUGAGUCCCAGCUCACCUGAUGCAACCAGUCAUUCUUCUAUGCACUUUAUCAAUUAUUUCACUGUAAGUUUGCUUAGUGACUCUAUCAUGAAGUAAAGGCAUUUCAGUACUUUCCCAGGUUGUUUAUGGAUUCCACUCCUAUUUUUUGCCUUGUGUUUUCCACCACUGUCCCACUUACGUUUAGUGAGCAGUAUAGCUUGGGAUUUUUGAACACUUACUUUCUGGCCUGAUACUUCAUAAAAUUCCCUUAGCACCUUUGCCUAUUCUGAGCUUGCUUCGGAGAAGAGAACCAAAUAAUCAGCAAAGAAUAAGUAUGCUACUGCAGGCCCAUCGCUUGAAACUUUUACUGGUUUCCACACUUUUGUUCUGAACAGCUCUUUUAAUCAGUCCACUUGAAAGUUUGAAUGCUGCUGUUUCGUCUCCAUUCCAUAGUAACUAUAGUGAGCUAGUCUCUACACAAUGCAUGCAUGAAGAGCUCAAUGAGUUGUUUAGGCAUCCCAGGUAACUCUAAUGUUUCCCUCAACAGCUCCACCUGAUUUUGUCAUACGCUUCUUGCAGAUCAACUUUCACAGCCAUUGUGCCUUUUUUUUCCCUCUUAAACUCCUCAUAGUGAUAACCACAUUGUCUGCUGCCUGCUUUCUAGGAAUAAAAGCUACACUGGUUCUGUUCAAUCAGAUCCACUAGUAUAGCCCUUAGUCUAUUUACUAUGAUUUUGUAGCUUACAUCGUAUAAUGAGAUUGGUCUGAACUGGGCUACUGUUUCAAAAAAACUCACAAACAAGAUCAAGUUAACUUAUCCUGGGAUCUUUUUCUUUCUUAAACUCCCAAACAAACUUUACAUAUUUUCUUUCCUACUUGAAUAGAAUGGAAAAAAUAAAGAGAACACAAAACUAGAGACUAUCUAAUUUCAUCAUGAACUCACAUGCUCUAGCACUUUGAUGGCUUUUUGAAACAAUUUGAGUGGACUACACAUUGUCCCGCUCUUCAUCCGUCCAAGUUGGACUUCAAUCCUAUUAGACAAACUACUCCGACCCCGACUAUAGUCGACCAGCCGUACUCUGUAAACUUAUUUAUUUGCUUUCAAUGCAUCUUUUUAUUACCCAAAAACAAAAAAAGUCAACCAGCCGUUCACGGCCUUGCAUGUUCUCUUCCCUUUCCACCGUAACAAAAAUUUCAUCUUUUUGUUAUUCGAAAACUUCUUACAAAGAUCCCCAGUCUUGAAAUGCCACUAGUCCACUACCAUCGUUACCAUUCGACCAAUCAACUUUUGUUGCAAAGCUUCCGUGCUUCCCUCCGGACCUUUCCUGAGCCACCACAAAACAGCCCAAUAAAUCCUAGCAAAAUUCAUUCUCCUUGCCUUUAGAUCAUAAAAUAGAGCACUAACAGGGUAGAUUUUGGAAAUGAACAUGAUUGUGAAGUGGACUGUUGAUGGGGCUAAGUAUAAUUCAAGAGGAGAAAUUCGAAGCAGUCAGUGCAUCGUAUAAGGAAGAGCACUUGAGAGUUGAGAGGAGAGGUGAUUGAUUGCUAGUUUUGAGGUGCAGGAGAAAAGUGGAUUUGUUUUUCUUGAGGGAAGGAGAAGAUCAAAGGGCAUAGAUGCCCUUUAAUUCAUAAAAUCACGAGGUUGGAGCGUCUGAAGCUAAUAUUGGAGUGCAAAUAUCAUGUCUUUUUUUAAAAAAAAAAAAUUAAACAUACAUACACCUAGAGAGAGAGAGAGAGAGAGAGAGAGAGAGAGCUAAGGAUCAGCUAAUUCAUCAUCAACUUGAAUAAUAAAACUUAGUGAAGUUUAAAGGUACAUAAAUACACAAAGAGAGAGAGUGAGUGAGGGCGCAUGAGCAUGCUGGCAUCGCAUACAAGAAGUCUUCAAAAAUUUACAGUCAAUUUGAACAGUCGAUCUCUUGAAAACUUUUCAGUUUGACAAGUCGAUGUCUCCCUCAAUUCAAGAAUGAUGAACCAUAUA
rnacentral:lncRNA from 1 species